GAGGAUCCCAAAAUUUGAUUUCCAAGGAGAGCAUGUAUUGAAAUGUAGUAAGAACUAGAUGCCAAAAGUUUAUGAAAAAUUUAUUUCAUUCCAGAUUAUUUUAUAUAGAGGGAGUGAACGAGAUGGACUAGAUGAAGUUUUUACCAUAUAACCCCCUUCCUCCUCCCUCCGAAAGGACGCAGCAUAUUUUAACUAAAAGACCUGGGAGAGGGAGAAGCCCAGAUCCAUUGUAAUUCAGUACGGAAAGUGAGUUGAUGCUUAGAACACAUGAGUGGUUGCGAAUACAGAAGACUCAUGAAGUUAUCCAAGAAAAAGGCCUGGAUGCAGUGAGGAACAGCACAAAGGACACUCCUAACCACUGUUCCAUCAAUUUAUACAACCUCAGAUUGGACAAGGAGAACCUUGUCCUCGUGUCAGCAGUUAGGCUAUGCAGAACAGAACAAUUUAGCUUUUGGGGGAAAGGGGGUCAUAGUAAGAUACUGAAUGUCUUCAGUCAAAAAAGUACCAAGAAUUUGCUAAUGCUGAUUGACAGCAAAUCUGUUUGUGUUGGUUAGAGGAAGCUUUAAAGAUGAAAAAUCAAGCUCUGUAUGCAUGACAUGUAGCACAAAUGCAGGACAACCAGAUAUUACCAAUUGUUUUUCCUAGAGUACUGAUGUCAGUAUGGCUGGAACUGCUGUAUGGUUGGGGAUCAAUGUAAUUUAAAGCUAGAUGAACAAUUCUGCAAGUAACUGAUGCAUUUGUGGAUCUUUAGCUUUUCAAAACCACGCAGAGAGAUAAUAUAUUAGGAGGAGGGAAGGGGAGAAAUUAAUUUGCAGAAACUCCAGGCUCGAGAUAUAUACCCGUGAAGCUUGAGAAAAUAGCUUUCCAUGGCUCAGCUGAGUUUCUGUUUAAUUGCUUAGCCAGAUAUGACCUUGCACAGCUUCCACUGCAGAUCUUUUGUGGUAAGCACAAACCAUAACAACCCCAUUCUCUAAUCUCUCACUCACUGAUGCUGCCCUUAGACAAACAAACAAACAAAAUGCAUCUCUGACAGUAUCUGAUUGAGAAAAGACUGUGUAUGGGGAAUAAAAACAUUUGAGUCACAGGAAAUGAUUUCAUAA